GAGUACUAGAAUCCCGAGUGGAGAGAACCCUGCCGGGUCCUUUCUCAAAUCUCCAGGUUUCCAUGCGGUCACUCGGCUCCGACUGUACCGAGUGGAAAACGUAGCCCUCCUGCCCACUCUAUCAGCAGCCACACUGGCCUGCCUACUCAUUGUCACCUCUGAUGUCUCAGUCUGCUCACACGGACAGUGGUUAUGUGGACAGACACUCCCAGGGAAAGAAGGCUCGGGAGAUCAGGAGUCUCAGUCUCCUCCUGGUUUCCUCCCAGCAUGGGAGAGUCACUGCUCUAAUGUCCUGACCUGGCACAGGCAGGGAGAUGAGGUGUUCAGGCCCCAUGGGUGUCAUUUUCUCCCAGUUCCGUGGCUCAGCCUGUUCCAUCCUCUGCUCUACUUUCUUUUUUAUCUCUUCAACAACAGGGUCAAGGAUAUGGUGUUUUCAGUUCCAGUUCAUAGGUGAAGAGGCUGGGUCUCAGAGCCGGGGUAACUUGAUCAAGACACAUCCCACAGAGUAACCAGAACAAGCCUCACGGACUCCCCAAAGCACGCUGCUGACUGCUCCACCUCUGGCUGUUUGCUGCUUGCAUAAUGAGGAAAAGGAGUGAAUGUAAGCAAGGACUUCCCUGAGUUUUCCUCUAGCAGAUUCAUCAAACCCAAGCUGAGGGUGUGGAGACCCCACUUACAGCCUGCCAGUUAGAAGCUCAGGCAAGACCGGGAGCUUUCGACUGGCGCUGAAGGUCUGAGGAUGAGGGCUCAGCCUGUGGUUCUGACACUGUCUCCAGUGGGCCUGGACACAGCAUGCAUGGGAAGAAUGACAGUGAUUAUAAUGGAGACGACACUCACCAGCUGCUUCCUGUGCCCUACAGUCGGUAGGAGAUGUGUCAUGCUACGUGGGGUGGGGGAGGGUUCAGAUGUAAAGAAUAAAAUUUGCUGACACCGGGGUCAUCUUUUCUGAACUGCAUUCUCAUUGCAUUUGACCAGUACAACAACAUAUUGUGACAAAUGUAAAUAAAGCAUG